UACGUAGGGUGCGAGCGUUGUCCGGAAUUACUGGGCGUAAAGCGUGCGUAGACGGCUAUCUAAGUCGGGUGUGAAAGCCCCGGGCUCAACCUGGGAACUGCCUUUGUGACUGCAAGGCUUGAGUGCGGCAGAGGGGGAUGGAAUUCCGCGUGUAGCAGUGAAAUGCGUAGAUAUGCGGAGGAACACCGAUGGCGAAGGCAAUCCCCUGGGCCUGCACUGACGCUCAUGCACGAAAGCGUGGGGAGCAAACAGG
rnacentral:rRNA from 1 species